UACGUAGGGGGCAAGCGUUGUCCGGAUUUAUUGGGCGUAAAGAGCGUGUAGGCGGCCAGGUAGGUCCGGUGUGAAAACUCGAGGCUUAACCUCGAGAUGUCAUCGGAAACCAUCUGGCUAGAGUCCGGAAGAGGAAAGUGGAAUUCCUGGUGUAGCGGUGAAAUGCGCAGAUAUCAGGAAGAACACCAAUGGCGAAGGCAGCUCUCUGGGACGGUACUGACGCUGAGACGCGAAAGCGUGGGGAGCGAACAGG
rnacentral:rRNA from 1 species